CUUAAGCAUAUCAAUAAGCGGAGGAAAAGAAACCAACAGGGAUUGCCUUAGUAACGGCGAGUGAAGCGGCAACAGCUCAAAUUUGAAAUCUGGCCUCUGGCCCGAGUUGUAAUUUGCAGAGGAUGUUUCUGGCGAGGUGCCUUCCGAGUUCCCUGGAACGGGACGCCAUAGAGGGUGAGAGCCCCGUACGGUUGGUCGCUAAGCCUCUGUGAAACUCCUUCGACGAGUCGAGUAGUUUGGGAAUGCUGCUCUAAAUGGGAGGUAUACGUCUUCUAAAGCUAAAUACCGGCUAGAGACCGAUAGCGCACAAGUAGAGUGAUCGAAAGAUGAAAAGCACUUUGAAAAGAGGGUUAAAUAGUACGUGAAAUUGUUGAAAGGGAAGCGCUUAUGACCAGACUUGGACCGGUUGAUCAUCCAUCGUUCUCGGUGGUGCACUCUGCCGGUUCAGGCCAGCAUCAGUUUGGCUCGGGGGAUAAAGGCUUCGGGAAUGUGGCUCCCUACGGGGAGUGUUAUAGCCCGUUGCGUAAUACCCUGGGCUGGACUGAGGUUCGCGCUCCGCAAGGAUGCUGGCGUAAUGGUCAUCAGUGACCCGUCUUGAAACACGGACCAAGGAGUCGUCUUCGUAUGCGAGUGUUCGGGUGUCAAACCCCUACGCGUAAUGAAAGUGAACGUAGGAGAGAGCUUCGGCGCAUCUCCGACCGAUCCUGAUGUUCUCGGAUGGAUUUGAGUAAGAGCAUACGGGGCCGGACCCGAAAGAAGGUGAACUAUGCCUGUAUAGGGUGAAGCCAGAGGAAACUCUGGUGGAGGCUCGCAGCGGUUCUGACGUGCAAAUCGAUCGUCAAAUAUGGGCAUGGGGGCGAAAGACUAAUCGAACCUUCUAGUAGCUGGUUUCCGCCGAAGUU
rnacentral:rRNA from 1 species